rnacentral:rRNA from 1 species
GACGAACGCUGGCGGCGUGCUUAACACAUGCAAGUCGAACGGAAAGGCCCUGCUUUUGUGGGGUGCUCGAGUGGCGAACGGGUGAGUAACACGUGAGUAACCUGCCCUUGACUUUGGGAUAACUUCAGGAAACUGGGGCUAAUACCGGAUAGGAGCUCCUGCUGCAUGGUGGGGGUUGGAAAGUUUCGGCGGUUGGGGAUGGACUCGCGGGUUAUCAGCUUGUUGGGGGGGUAGUGGCUUACGAAGGCUUUGACGGGUAGCCGGCCUGAGAGGGUGACCGGCCACAUUGGGACUGAGAUACGGCCCAGACUCCUACGGGAGGCAGCAGUGGGGAAUAUUGCACAAUGGGCGGAAGCCUGAUGCAGCAACGCCGCGUGCGGGAUGACGGCUUUCGGGUGGUAAACCGCUUUCGCCUGUGACGAAGCGGGAGUGACGGUAAUGGGUAAAGAAGCACCGGCUAACUACGUG